AUGUGCUAUGAUGAAUAUCAGCAAGAGUCACUUGAUAGGCAUUGGGCAGUGAUGGUAAAGACAUUCAGGUCAUUAGACGAGGUGUACACGUUCUACAAUAAGCACGCGAGAGAACGUCGGUUCGGCAUCAGGAAGGACUCGCUAAAACGUUCAAAGGAUCGCGCAAGGACUGUGCGCUUGAGGAGGUAUCUCUUUUCCGCCGCAGGAAAACGACAGGCCAAGUUCUGUACCAUGGAAGGCCGGACCCGCAGGCUUAGACCGGAGAGUCGAUUCUUAUGUGAAGCCCAUUUGACAGUUAAGCUUGAUAAAAAGCUCAAUCUUUGGUAUGUCAGCAGUUUCUCCGAUGAUCACACCACACUCUUGCACGACCGGACGAAGUCCCUUUCCUCCGAUCUCAUAAUCAGAUCAAAGCAUUUGAGAGAGCUGAGAUCUUAG
rnacentral:rRNA from 1 species